CACCCCUCAGGGUUGCACCUGGAGAGUUUCCAGGACUCUACCAGUCCCGGCUACAGGAGGGAGAGUCUAGCAGAGGCCUGUCCAUUCCAUUCCUAGCUUGGCCAGUGGCUAACGAGUGGAAGACCAUCUGCUACAAAU
rfam:Ornithorhynchus anatinus chromosome 4, whole genome shotgun sequence.